rnacentral:rRNA from 1 species
GAUGAACGCUGGCGGCGUGCUUAACACAUGCAAGUCGAACGGUGAAGGCGGAGCUUGCUCUGCUGGAUCAGUGGCGAACGGGUGAGUAACACGUGAGCAAUCUGCCCCUGACUCUGGGAUAAGCGCUGGAAACGGCGUCUAAUACUGGAUACGAGCUGCGAAGGCAUCUUCAGCAGCUGGAAAGAAUUUCGGUCAGGGAUGAGCUCGCGGCCUAUCAGCUUGUUGGUGAGGUAAUGGCUCACCAAGGCGUCGACGGGUAGCCGGCCUGAGAGGGUGACCGGCCACAAGGGGACUGAGACACGGCCCAGACUCCUACGGGAGGCAGCAGUGGGGAAUAUUGCACAAUGGGCGAAAGCCUGAGGCAGCAACGCCGCGUGAGGGACGACGGCCUUCGGGUUGUAAACAUCUUUUAGCAGGGAAGAAGCGAAAGUGACGGUACCUGCAGAAAAAGCGCCGGCUAACUACGUG